GUGUGUUGUUGGGUAGGGGAGCGUUCUGUAAGCCUGUGAAGGUGUGUCGUGAGGCAUGCUGGAGGUAUCAGAAGUGCGAAUGCUGACAUAAGUAACGAUAAAGCGGGUGAAAAGCCCGCUCGCCGGAAGACCAAGGGUUCCUGUCCAACGUUAAUCGGGGCAGGGUGAGUCGACCCCUAAGGCGAGGCCGAAAGGCGUAGUCGAUGGGAAACGGGUUAAUAUUCCCGUACUUGGUGUUACUGCGAAGGGGGGACGGAGAAGGCUAUGUUGGCCGGGCGACGGUUGUCCCGGUUUAAGCGUGUAGGUGUGUGUUCCAGGUAAAUCCGGUUCACUUUAACACUGAGGCGUGAUGACGAGGCACUACGGUGCUGAAGCAACAAAUGCCCUGCUUCCAGGAAAAGCCUCUAAGCAUCAGGUAACAUCAAAUCGUACCCCAAACCGACACAGGUGGUCAGGUAGAGAAUACCAAGGCGCUUGAGAGAACUCGGGUGAAGGAACUAGGCAAAAUGGUGCCGUAACUUCGGGAGAAGGCACGCUGACACGUAGGUGAAGUGAUUUACUCAUGGAGCUGAAGUCAGUCGAAGAUACCAGCUGGCUGCAACUGUUUAUUAAAAACACAGCACUGUGCAAACACGAAAGUGGACGUAUACGGUGUGACGCCUGCCCGGUGCCGGAAGGUUAAUUGAUGGGGUCAGCGCAAGCGAAGCUCCUGAUCGAAGCCCCGGUAAACGGCGGCCGUAACUAUAACGGUCCUAAGGUAGCGAAAUUCCUUGUCGGGUAAGUUCCGACCUGCACGAAUGGCGUAAUGAUGGCCAGGCUGUCUCCACCCGAGACUCAGUGAAAUUGAACUCGCUGUGAAGAUGCAGUGUACCCGCGGCAAGACGGAAAGACCCCGUGAACCUUUACUAUAGCUUGACACUGAACAUUGAGCCUUGAUGUGUAG
rnacentral:rRNA from 1 species